UUCCAAAAACAUGCAUGGCAGGCUGAUUGGACGCUCUAAAUUGUCCCUAGGUGUGAGUGUGGGUGUGGAUGGUUGUUCGUCUCUGUGUGCCCUGCGAUUGGCUGGCAACUGAUUCAGGGUGUCCCCCGCCUACUGCCCGAAGACGGCUGGGAUAGGCUCCAGCACCCCCCGCGACCCUAGUGAGGAUCAAGCGGUUCGGAAAAUGGAUGGAUGGAUGGAUAUAUAUAUAUAUAUAUAUAUAUAUAUAUAUAUAUAUAUAUAUAUAUUUUCCUAUGGCUUAUGUGUUCAAGUGCAAUUUACAGACUUGGGGGUGUCAGUAAAUUUCCGUCAUCGUCAGUUUGUUGUUAUUUCAAGCGGAACCAACACUUUCAUGUCAGUCCGUGCCUCCGUCAUAUUUUAACAGCGCUUCCAUCAUUGCUAAAUUAAACGGACUACGAAGGCUGUUCUAACUGGCAUUGUCUCACAACAAAUGUUGCCCACUCAGCAUCCAUUGCAGCAUGGUCAUCCUGGAAGGGGGUUUGCCCCAUUUAUGGCCCCAUUGCAGGGUUUUAGGCGUGGAUUUUGAGGGGUCCCCCCCCACCCCCCUCCCCGUGGGGUUAAAAUCAGUUGGUGUCGUUAUUUGUCAUCUGUGGGCAUGUGAUGAAUAUAAAUUUGACUUGACUGAGAGCGACUUUGAACACUGACAUCUUCUUUGGCAGCAUUGUGUCGGUGGCAGCCAAUAGGCGUUGAGAACGUACUACUUAGUACUUAAUACAAAGCAUUCGCAGCACUACUACUCCGGUAAAGAACCAUGCCUCCUGAGGAUGUCCACAAUCAUUGCUUGUGCAUUACGGAAGACCGUAAAAACUAAGUCAAAGAGAUUUCCUACUUUUUUACAAUCAAUAUUGAGCCUUGUAAACCUGUAGUAGAUAAAUCAAGGAUAAUGAAAGUCCAUCACAUGACAUGAUGCUCUCAUCUCUCUCAAUCUCUCUCUCUCUCUUUCUCUCUCUUUCUCUUUCUCUUUCUCUUACUCUUUCUCUUUCUCUCCCUCGCUCUCACACUCUGGUGAUCUCUCCCUGCCUGACUCUCCAUCCAGUAUAUGUGACCCAAACCACAUGUAAUCUCAAAAUAUUCUCAAAAUAAAUAUUUUCACCAAGCUUUAAUGGAAAACCAUAACCAUAAAGGAUUAAAUGCUAAUAAAUACACAUGCGUAAAAUAUUAGACUGAAACAAAGAUUGCGCAUUUGUGUUGUCAGAUCCUUGAUGAAGAACGCAGAUCGGAGACGACGCGGAAACCAUUGGAGGUCACAGAAAUGUUAAAUUGGCAAGCAGACACAAUGGAAAAAUAAUGGGACACAUUUUGAAACUGUAAACGUUUUGUAUAUAUUCAAUAAUAUGACAAAGUGGCUGCCUGAACACAAUAUUUUCAGAAUGGUGAAGACGUUCAAAGGCUGCCAGACAGAUGCACACACAUGUACACGCACACACACGCACGUCUUCAUGUAAAUGCCGCAGAGUUCAUGCAAUUUGUGCAGAUAAACUUGGGGGAGGUCAAAGGUUGUAGUUCGAUGUCUCGCUACCUUGUUGGUGUGUGCAAGUGUGUUUGUGUAUGUGAAAGUGCGUGUGCGUCUGUCUGUGUGUAUGUGGGGGAGGGAGUGCAUUUGUGCAUUCGUCUGGCGGCCCUUGAACUUCCUUACCAUUCUGAAAAUAUUGUGUUCAGGCAGCCAUUGUGUGUGUGUGUGUGUGUGUGCGAAUGUGUGUAUGCUUUUUGAUGCCUAAUAUGGAGCUGUUAGCCACAGCUACAUGAGUCUGUGUGUCACGUGCACUGGAGUCCACUGCCAAACGCAUACAAACACACACACACACACACACGCACACACACACACGCACUAACAAGGUAGAGAGACAAAAUAACUAAAAUGAAAGCGUGUGUGUGUGUGUGUGUGUGCGUGUGGGGGGGGGUGAUUAUCUAAAACCAUCUUCCCACCUUUCUGGAUUUUCUGCUGAUUCAUCACUUUUUCUGUUUUUGUGUCCUCUCCUCUUUUUCUCAUCUCCUUUAUUGGCCACCCCCCCCCCACCCCCCCAAAUGUGUCAUAUCAGUCAAAUAAGGUUGUAUAAUGUUUUCUUUUUUUAUCUAAUUUUUGUUGUCUUUGUAUUGCCUAUAUUUAAAUGCCUUACUUUUUAAUGCAUUAUUUCCAACACUGCAAGUUGGUGUUUUUAACCAGAUUUACUGUAUUACAAAGUACAUGACGGGAAAUAAAGAUUAUAAAUGGAGUGGUCUUUUGCUGUUCUAGUUGCGUUAAAAGCUGCCAAUGGAUUUUCUCAGGUGUCUUCACCACGAAAAUAAGACUGAACUGGUCACACCAGUCUAAUUCUGAGCGUUGUGCUUUAAGCCACUUAUCUGUUGUUAUCUUGUGGCAUUGGGCUAAGCGGCCUAGUCGGCUGAGAGACCGACUUGGACACAGACAUAAUUUUUUUUUUGGCCCUGUCCCUCUCACUUCUGAUGAUGUCAGAUGCUUUUAAAAUGCUCUCAUAGAAAUUGUGGGUGUGGGUGUCGUCAAGCUUUUCCUUUAUGAAAUUGACCAUAACAUGGCCAAAUUUCAUGUUGCUAUGGAAAAGUUUACCCCGCAAAAUGACCACUCCAAAGCAGAAUGGCAGGCUUCCUGUGUGUCUAAGAAAAAAAAACAAAACAAAAAUGACAUGACUUCACUCACUUGAGAGGAUCUCUUGUUUGUUUGUUUUUUUUUUUAAGUAUGCUACACUAUGGUGGGGUGUUUGGAUUGCCUUCCGUGCGCAUUGCUCAUUGUGACAGUAAAUCUCAAAAUGUUUGCCAGCAUCACCCCACUGUUUUUCCCAGUUGUUAUUGGGGAAUGCUUGUUGCACACUACAUUGAAUCCUCUUGUGCGUAUGAGCUGUUGCUGGCGCUCUUUCAGGAAUUUGUCCAUUCAGAAUCACAGUGAGAUUUAUUGGCCAAGUAUGUAAAACACAGAAGGAAUUUACUUUCCCAUUUACAACCUAUCUAGAAGAACUUAAACAAAACAAUGACCAACAGAGGGAGACAAACAGGAAUUUGCUGUUAAGCGCCCCAAAAUCUGAGAUAUGAAAAGAAAACACAGGAAAGAGGAAGAACCCCCUCCCCCCCAACAGUUUAUAACCAUUCUCCUUAAAUUGGAGCUUUGUUUUAGCCUGAGAAAAGAAAAAAAAUCCUCUGCACAUGUAGCGUACAUUUAAAAGACAUGUACAACAAAUGCAUGUCCAUGUAGUGAACGGGGGAAUGGAAGGGGCAAGGGGUGGGGAUUGAGUCACAACCAGUCCGGCUAGCUUUUUUUGGAUAGGAGCGCUCUGUCAGUGUGGUUAUGACUUGGGGCUGGAGCAAAUGGGAAUGAAGACAUUGACAUUUUAGGGCAUUAUGUAGAGUGUUAUUGUCAUUGUUUUUGUUUGCAUGUCAAGCAUCCAUAGUUACAAGAGCAAACCUUAUCAGUCUCUGGCUCGGGAAGGAGGAGUAUCGGGGCAAAUAGGAAUGCUAGCAUCUGAGCGGAUUUUUCCAUCCAGGGGAAAAUUCAGAUAACAGUUUUUUUUUGGAACAGGCCAUCCACAAUUUCAUUCAGCCUUGAAGGUCUUUUAGCUUCUGACUCUCAAUGGCACCAAUUACCCAAAUUCUCGAUUUAGCAAUCAAUUUUUCCAGACCGGGCCAGCUACUCCUUGUUCUUUUCCAUUUUGCAAAGCGACUUAGACACUGCAUUCACUUUGCGAUAAAGUUCUGUCAAUGCAUGAGUCUGAGUGUUGAUCACCCGCCCCACACCAUCCAGAAAGGCAGGCAACUCUUUCCCUUCGAAUGAAGCUGCGCCCGCAGGCUGAAUUUUGCGAUAGAUCAAGAAACUGCCAUCCUCAAACGGCGAGAUACCUGUUAUCAGAAGUCCAAUAAUGUCGAUGUCUUCCACAUCCUUUAUGGACAAUAUUAAUUAAUUAUCAUCAUCAAUCAUAAUCAAUUACUGAGGUGUAGAGGCUAACGAACUGUAACCUAAGCUGCUUUUGGAAAUUGUGCUCCGCUCUCAUUAAUUUCCGAACGCAGCCAGUACUGGCCCAGUGUGUCCCCAGUCGGAGUGCCUAGUGCAUAGCGCUGUUUUUGGUGCAUUCCGAAUAGCGAAAUAAUCAUUUUGAGCAAUGCUCUAUGUUUCUCGACAAUCGCAGUGCUUGCUAAUUUCUGGACGUUUCCCUAAUGCGCAAGUAACUGAAAGACUCAACCCGGCCCUCCCUGUUCUCACAAACAGACACAGGGUACAGCUGCAGCACAAACACGAAAACACGAAUUGUACUGAAACAGAAUAGCUCCUUACAGGUGUACUUAAAAAAAAGGUUUUCAACUUAAAUUAAAAAAUAUAUAUGUAAAUAAAUACAUUGCUGGGAUGGUAGAAGAUGGGCUGAUUUCUGACAGGUGUUUUAGCCAAACCCCCACCAAAGCCCCACUGUAGCACCAUGCACGCUUUUCAGGCACAGCUUCUUGUCAGCCAAAUUUCAUGUUGCUAAGUGAUAACCUAAAUGUUUGCACUUGCUGUUGCCAUAUGUUCCCAAAUGUUCCCUUUUUGCGGGUUUGUGGUAAUGUAAAAGAGUCAGACGAUUGUGGCAGCAGGAUGAUGAAGUGCUCUGAGGAGGCGGUUUGGGUUGAGAAGGACGCACAUGUUUGGCGGUGUUCCUAUCGAUGUGAAAUGUCAGGAAGUUGAGGAGAAUUCUGAUGGGGAACACGCAAGCACACUUCUCUUAUAAUGUCACAGCCAUUGUGUGAGCAUUCAGUCUAACGGAUAGGGGUGGAUCCCACAAACGUAAACAAUGCUAAGAUUAUAGUACAAAAAAGUUUGUUAACAAACGCAAGACCAACAUAGUACAAAUCAUGACACUGGUAAAAACACCAGGAUAAAACAAGAGAAACAAAAAGCGCGAGCAAAAGGCAACGAAAAUACAGAUGGAAAUUGAUUGUCUCAAAAGGACAAGAGACAUUGAAUGACAAAUGUCAAUCGAGAAUUUGCCAAACUAAAUGCCUACAUACAAGAAAAACACAGCGCAAUCAACAAGCAAUGAGAACAACGGAGCAAAAUCUGGAACGUUUAGAAAAUUGCACAUGAACAAUGGCUUGAGCAAGGGGAACAGUCAAUUGUCGCCUUGGAAGUCCUGAAAUAGUCUGUUGAUUGUGAUGGGUAACAGGUGCACAGCUGGACAGACGUCUGCCACCUGCUGGCGGCUAACAGAAACUGAAUCAUGACAUCAAGCAUGUGUUCAAGUGUGUGUGUGUGUGUGUGUGUGUGUGUGUGUGUGCGCGCUUGCGUGUGCACGUACAUCAGCCUGACAUCCCUCACGCCUCAAGGACGAGGAUGUUGAUUACUCUCCCCUCCCUCCUUUGUGUGUGUGUGUGUGUGUGUGUGUGUGUGUGUGUGUGUGUGUGUGUUUAAAAUGACGCAUUAGCUACCACUUCCAUAUACCUAUGUAGGUAACUGUGCUUCAGCGUGUGUGCAUGCAUGUGUGUUUGUAUAUGUAUGUGUUGUCCUUGCAAGUGACAGGCUGCUGAAAUGUGGCACAGUGGGGGACACAGAGGGGGUGUUGGCCUCGUGUCGGCUGAUUGGUCACUUCCUGUGGGUCUCUAUGUACACAUUCAUGUGUGUGUAUGUGUGAAAGAUUGGGUGUGUUAAUACAGUCGAACCUCGUCACAACGUACCUCGAGGGACUAGCGGAUUUGUACGUUAUAAGUUUGUUGUAACCAUUUCCAAUAAAAUGGCGGCCAACUACGAUGUAUAUAAUGCAUUAUGAACAUUUAUGGAUGUAAAAACAUGAACAUGUAAUACAGUAUAAACAUGUCAAUUACAAAUAGGUGUAUACGGUAUGAAGAAAAAACAAACAAUUGUAGCGUUCUGACUUCAUUUCUGAAAACAUUCAGUCAGCAAAAGAAAAGUGCCUUCUCCAAUUCAGAAUGAAAACAGCUUCGACAUGACUUUGAAGAAAACCUGGAUAUUCCCCAAAUGACCAUAACAUGGCUGCUUCCCACCAAAAUGGCAGAGUUCAUAUAUCUUUCCAGGAAUAGCUUUUCUAUACUUUUUUUUGUGGGUCUCCUUAUAAAAAGACAUGUCAAACAAAUUUCAUGUUACUAUGUGUAACUAGCUACGACAAAUCUUUAAAGGGGCGUGGGAAAUGGUAAUUCAACCCCAAAAUGUCAGACUUUCUAUACAUUUUCCUAUGUUGUUUCUUGAAACUUUUUUGUAGGUAUUUUGAUACCAGACAUGUCGACUGAUUUUCAUGUUAAGUUUAAAGGUUUGUAUUCCUUUUUGUUGAGAUUCACCUUAAGGCAUUUUGUUGAGGUCAUAUGGCAUUAAUGUGUGACAGUAAUGGAUCGACAGGGCUGCGUGUGCUCACCCUUUUGUACGUAUUAAUAGAUGUGUAUGUGUGUGUGUGCUUCCAUGUGUACAUGUGUGAAGUGUGUUGCUAAUUGCUAAAGUCCAUUCUAUUUUAGCCCACCAGCAAAAACAGACGACAUAGUAGACAUACGGUCUUUGAGACGGCCACAGUUUUAUUUUUAAUCUGACCUUGAGCGAUGCAAUGAACAUGUCCCCUUGAGUUGCUUUAUUUUUGUCUUGUCACCGAGCUUUAAUGGUAUGACUUUCUACGUCUUAGGCAUAGGUACAAUUAUUUUUAAAUCCACUUUGAGUCGCACGUGAAUCUAGUGUAAGCUUGCCAAGUUAUGUGGUAACACCUUGAACACCAGUUAACAGCACUAACCUUAUUGGUUAGCCACUUUUGAAAAUUCAGCCAACCUGAUUUAUGUAAUGGAUUCUAAUGAACAAUUAACGAUUAUAUGAACAAUUGGUUAAUCUGUCAGUUAUUUGUUUUGAUUCAUUGGUGAAUCAGAUAUAGCACACAAUUUAAUUAGUAAUUAUCUCAAACUGACAGUGUGCAGAAAAUGUAUAAACAUAAAUAGAUUAUGAUUCAGUAACUAGUUUGAUUUUUAGCUUGUCAGGAAAUCGGCUGAAAAUGUUGAUCAAGUAAAAGCAAAUGUCUUACUUUGUUAAAACACAAAGACAAUCAGGCUGAUUUUGUAGAGAGAAACACAAAUCUUUAGACUAGCUAGGGCAGUCACUAUCUAAUCAUUUUAGAAUUGAUCAGAUCAUUGAAAUAUAUAAUACAAAUAUUUUAGUGGCCAUUCCAAACAGUAUUUCUGAUUGUUAGCCAAUUUGGAUAGCAUCAAGUAGAGAACACAUUAUCGUAAUUUGGACUCAAGAUUGAAAGUCUGGGUCCAUGUAUGGCUUUGUAAGAGCACAUUUAUUGGAGUAAACCAGUGUUUUUCAAACUUUUUUCAGCCAAGGCACACUUUCAUUGAAAAAAAAUCUCACGGCAAACCACUGGCUGAAAUUGUCCCCCCCCCGACCCCCACUUAUUUUAACAAUUAACGUGUUAUAUUGUUACUAUAACCGUUUAUAACAUUGAAGGAUGACAUUAUAACAGCUUGAAUUGGAAUCAAAUGAACACAAAGAAAACAGUAUUUUAUCAUCUUUCAUAUUUAUUGUUUCACCGUCGUCCUGCAUUCAUGCGUCACAAAUUCGCUUGUCUCUCGUCGAAACACAAGGCAAUUAUUAUAAAAUAUUUUCCCGCAGCACACCUGACAAUGUCUCACGGCACACGGGUUGAAAAACACUGGAGUAAACUAAUGUAAAGUACAUUUUAGCAACGGAUGGUCCAAGCUUCAGAAGUCACUCAUAGUUGUCAAAGGGUGAAGCUGGCACUCAGCCCAAUAGCUGCAAGUAGAGCUAACAUUAGCCUCCUUCGGAUUUAAAACGUGCAUUGUAUCUGCAUGUGGUUUUGUCACCUGGCUUAAACUAAUGUUAGCCUUUCACCGCUGACUCAGUUAGCCUGCUGCAGUUGUUGGCCACAUCAGAAUGUAUUUUUCCCGCGAGUCUUUGUGCAUGUGACUGUGUGUGUGUGUGUGAGUGUGUGUUUGUGUAAAUGUGAGAGAGUGUUUGUGUGUUUUCCCAGAGGACAAAGUGCUGGUGUGGUGAAACUGGAUCAAAGGUGCUUGAACACAAAAAGAUGCCAUAGUUGUUUCACUUGAGGAGUUACAGAGUCCAUUCUUGAGCAACCAGUGUGUGUGUGUGUGUGUGUGUGUGUGUGUGUGUGUGUGUGUGUGUGUGUGUGUUCUCACUUUCUGCACCCACUACACCAGGGGUGCCCAUUAGGUCGAUCCUGAUCUACCGAUACAUCUAAGACGGGUCCCAAGUAGAUCCGAGGAGUGUCGAGGAGAAAAAACAAACAAACAACCAUUUGUGUGUCUUUGUACAUGUGAGUAAUAUAUUUUUUUGUGUUCAUGUACACUGCACCUUAAUCAUCUUAUCAGUCUCAUUUUCACCAAAAAAUAUAGAAAAAAUAAAAUAAAGAAUCAGAAUCAGAAUCAUCUUUAUUGGCCAAGUAUGUAGAACACACAAGGAAUUUGUCUCCGGCAUAACACGCUGUAUUAGUAUCAUCGUAAACAAGGACAUGACAGGUAAAUCUUGAAUUUACGGUGGCAUGUGAUUACGUCACCGGAAGUUGUUAGCUCUCAGCAGUCUGCAAUUGCAGCUUGUGAUCAGAACUGUUGCGCUCUAUCUUUUAUCAUCAUUAUUCUCAUUCAGAGUUUGCUUCGUGUACAAUUCACCGAGGGCACGGGCAAAGAAUAGGAAUCUAGGAGGGCUCAGGGAAGCACUUUAAAACGGUACGUGUGAGCUACGAUAGUUAACAGGCUGCAAAAGUGCAUCGCGUGCCUCAGUUUCAGGCUGUUUCUCAUCAUGGCGUGCGUGUGUGUGUGGCUGUUUGUGUGCGCGGGCGCGUGUGCCGGUAAGGGUAGAUUCCGGGAGGUUAGUUGAUCGAAAAGUAGAUCUUCGAUCCAAAAGUUUGGGCACCCCUGCACUACACAAUAGGGAAAUAUAGUGUUGCAAUAUUUUGAAAGCUUUUACUAUGAGUAGAAACACCCCCCAAAAAUCUCAAGAAGGCAUGCUCAAAAAGGUAUGUAAGUAAAUUGACAUUUUUUUGUGCUUCAAGUGGACAUUUUAGGUUCAAUUGCCUCACUUUUGCCCAAUGGUAUUACCAAUUACAUUUGAAGUUUCUUUGUCUGGAUUUAUCUGAAUAGCGAAUGUUCAAGCCACUACGAUUUGUCCAUUUCAAUGAUUAUCCUGUAACUAAUGUAUGUGCACAUCUUUACCAUAUAAAUCGCUGUUUCCAAACUGUGAUUUAGCCAAAAAUUUCACAUUCAAAAAAUCUCACGGCACCCGACCAAACAAAGAGUAAAAUAAAAGUUAAAUUGAAACUUCUGAAAACAUCUAACCUGAAAUAAUGACAUGCAGAGGUACCGGGUUCGAUUCCAGCUGCGGCCUCCCUGUGUGGAGUUUGCAUGUUCUCCCCGGGCCUGCGUGGGUUUUCCCCGGGUGCUCCGGUUUCCUCCCACAUUCCAAAAACAUGCGUGUCAGGCUGAUUGAACACUCUAAAUUGUCCCUAGGUGUGAGUGUGAGCGCGGAUGGUUGUUCGUCUCUGUGUGCCCUGCGAUUGGCUGGCAACCGAUUCAGGGUGUCCCCCGCCUACUGCCAGGAGACAGCUGGGAUAGGCUCCAGCACCCCCCGCGACCCUAGUGAGGAUCAAGCGGUACGGAAGAUGAAUGAAUGAAUGAAUGAAUGAAUGAAUGAAUGAAUGAAUGAAUGAAAUAAUGACAGUCUUGACUCACAAAUUUAUUUGUGUGGGACCCAUGCCUGUUUAGCUAUCGUUAAGUUGUGUGAAUGGCAACAUGUAGGCUUCUGUAGAUGCACAGGUUAAUUUGACGUUAUGAAAUUAUGAAAAACACUUUAAAGCCUGUAUCUCACUGAGUGUUUGUUUGAAAUUAUAUUAAAGUGCUAUGGGAUUAUGUCUUGUGAUUUCUGGGUUAAACCUUUAAUAUUAUCACUUUACUUUACUGUGUCCAUAACUGACACUGAGCGGAAUGUUCCCGAUUUCCCAGCAUUCUCGAAUGCAUCGAUACAGCUCAACUCUUUCCUUGUCUUUGGUGCUUGAUCUCAGAGAAGUCAUCUCUCUUCCUUCACUACUUUCCGCUGUUGCUGCCCUCGGGAGAUGGGAAUCCAGUGUGUGCGGGCCGGUGUAAGGAUGAGUGUCAUGGAAACAGUGCAGCUAUAAAUACAGUGUGCAUCAUGCAUGCUUCCUUCUUCAACUCGAGAAUGAAGAACCCCAACAAAACACGUUGGGAGAAACCUCACUCAAAUCUUGAUUUGUAGUUUUGGGGAGUAGUUCAGUCAUUAAUAGUUGUGGCAUUCUGCUUAUUUGGAUGUGUUUUAAGUCAUCUUUUUAAUUCUAAAAGCCCCCCAUAAUAAAAUAAUUUGGUCUUCUUGCAAGACACAAAUGAAGGAUUACAUAUUCAUGAUUUUGUUCUGUCAGUUGGUUCUUCUGGAGUUAUAAUCUUUAGUUUAUGUUAAUGGCCAAUUUCAUUCCAAUUGAAAGUUGAUGUCUUUUUACAGACGCCAUAGCCCAAGUUUAUAUCUGCUCGAGUUACAGAUCAGUUUUGCUGUUUGAAACCAAAAUAGCCGACUUCCUCAGUAUUUUCGGGUAUGUCUUCUUAAGACUUUUUCUGUGGGUCUACUCAAAACAUGUCUACCAAAUUUCAAAUUGCUCUGAAAAACUGGAUUUAGGGGCUGAAUUUUCCCCGUGGCUGUUAGUUUACAGUGGUGUUUUGGGGCAAGUUAUCAAAACUUUACUUUUAUACUCAGCCUACAAUGGUGUGGUGAAAACUCAAAUAUUUUGCAACUUAGCAUUGCUCAUCUGGGUAGUAUAUAAUGCAAUCUGACCAAAUCUCAAGGACAAGCUUCUCAUGAUGGCCAUGCCUGCCAAAUUUCUGAUUGUUGAGUGAAACAGGCUUUGGGGGCAAUUUUUUAAUUUGCAGAAAUGGCCAGCGUGGCCCCUAAAAUGCCCACUUCCAAUCAGAAUGGCAGACUUGGAGUGCAUUUGGAAGUAUUCUCCCAGCGCACUCUGCUCCACUCCAACUGUUCAGAAACUCAACUUGUUCAAAUGUAGCAUUCAAUCAUUCAGCGUGCCACAAAAUACGAGUGCCGGAGCAUGCUCUUGGGUGUCUGCAACUGGGAACACAGAGCGUCCAAAACAUCAGGCAUACGGACGGAAACAGUUCAAGCAGAGAUUGCUGAUUGGUAUGACAUAGGAUGCGUUUGGAAAUUAAUGAGAGGUGUGUUCUGCGUCUCCCAAAUGCACGCAGUCACAGAGUCAUGUUCGGGCAUCAGAGUUAAUUUCCGAACAUACCCGUUAUGUAUCUUUUCAGGCUUGGCUUCUUGAGACUUUUUAGUGGGUAUACUCAUGAUAGCUAUGCCCACCAAAUUUCAUGUUCCUAAGUGAAACUGGCUUUGAGGGUUGGAUUUUUUUUUAAGUGUUGGAGAGCAAACGUAAAAAAAAAAAAUCAAUAAAAAUUACGUCUUUAUGACAUAAUUACUUCCAGACUCCUGUUCUUGUAUCAAAUACAUUAUUAACUUUGUUAUUGAUCGUCAUAAGAGCUUUUGCACAAACAUGGUAAGUGUUGUUUGUUUGGAUGCUCUUCAGCUGUUUGUCAUAAAAAUAUAUUCUAAAUGAAAACAAAUAAUGGUUAUACUGAUGAUAACGGUGGAUGAGAUGAUGAUCUCCAAAAGCACAAAAUUUAUCUGGACAGUUUUGGGAAGGAGAACCAGCAAUGUGUUCCGCUUGUGUAGAAUUAAACAAUGGAGGUCUAUUUUUAGCAAUUCUUUUUGUGAGCUUGUGGGCUUCAGCAUUUGUGACAUGCAAACAUCAAAGUGGAUGACAGAAAAUACAUAUACACUCAGACCUUUAGGAAGAACCAACAUUCAGGCAAAAAUGCAUGUGUGUUAAAAAACAAAACAAAACCAAAAUGCAGGAAUAAGAGAGGCACAAUAUUCUGCUAGAUUUGCACAUUAAUCGUUGAUCACAAAGGGCCAGUUGUACAAAUAAUGUAAUCUGGAUCAAAAUGAUCUGAACUUGCAAAUACAAUUUUUUGCUGUCUAGUUUCAUGUAAUCCAUUUUACUUUGAUGGUGUUUUUUCACAGCAACCCUGAUCCAGAGACUCCGUUUUUGAUAUUACUGGUACCAAAUCCGGAUUAUCAGUGCUCUAAAUGGGAAAACAUAUCACAAUGUGGGACACCAGCAAUGUAAAGAACAACAGAAAAAAGAGCCAACAAGGGGUCAUUUCAUUAUCAUCAUCGUUAUUAUUAUUAUUAUAUUGACACAAAACCAAAAUAUUUUGUGAAGAUCAACUUCUAUUUACUAAAUAAUUUAUUUUAUGAACACUCACAUGAGCUAUAACAAAUAUACAGUACAUAAACAAAUACAUUGUAGAUAUUUUGACGUCUUAAAUUCCAAUCGUUAACAAAUUUAAGAAUGUUUCUUUGUAAUUAAUAUACAACAAUGAAUGGCAGAACAAUUGAAUACAUCAUUUUUGUUUCUUACUGAAAUCUGCUCAGGGGACUUUUUCAUGGGUAGAAGAUCAUUAUUUUAUUUAUUUAUACUGAAAGGCUUAAUUGGUAUCCCACGUCGACCGUAGCUACUUCAUACCUGUAUGAGUUGAGCAAAUCAAGUAGAAAAUAUAAAUAACACGAAAUGAUGCAGAUGGGUUAUUUGACCAAGUUUUGUUCCAUUUUCUUCUUGAACCUUGAAAUCCUUCCCCCUCUUAGGAUCAGGUUAAUCUUCUUUUUUGGGAUCAAAGUUAUCCAGAUCCAACUGAAAUGUUUUGAACAAUACAAAUUGAAGGUUUGAUACGGAUUAAAAUUAGGAUUGUAUUGCACGAUCCAAUCCGAUUUCAAUUAAAACAUCUUGUUCUUUGACACAACUCAUUUUCAAGAUUUGAUCUAAUGCCAUAAACAAAAUGCAGUCACAUUACCAUUAGCUCUGUUAGCUGUCAAAUAUAUCACAUAUCCGUCGGUAUAUAGAUCCUAAACCUGUUAUUAUUAUUAUUUUUAUCGGUACAAGCAACCACGUAUGAGCUAUAUAGCUAAUUUGAACUAAAACUACUUGCACACAAAAAUAAACAUGGCUAAGUAAGUAUUAGCCGUAUCGCUAACACUAGCUAGCGAAUGCUCAGCUUUUAAGACAACACUUCUCAUCUUCGCUUUUUUAAUGAUGUGCUGAAUAGUGGUCACAGAAGUACCAUUGCUGGUCAGAUUUUUGAACAAAUGUUGCUACAUCUUGCAUUGUGGGGAUUUUUGGGUAGACAGAGCCUUAAGAAAGGUUAGUUUAGUCAAACAUGACAUCAAACAAAUCACUUAAACUGUCGGAAGUUGAAUAAUUAAUGUGUAACAGUCAGAUUUGGCCCCUCGUCUGCAUUUUAGCGAGAAGAGCAGACGGGGAUGCUUUGCAGUGAUUUCUUUGCAACAUGUCCGUGUCCUCAUUGGUGUCAUCUCACAUUUGUCAACAGUUACGACAAAGUGCCUGUGAAAGUCAUCACGUCGCUUGCUAACAGGGUCCCUAAGUCUUUAUUUGAAACUUAACAAAAGAAAGAAAGAAAGAAAGAAAGAAAGAAAGAAAGAAAGAAAGAAAGAAAGAAAGAAAGAAAGAAAGAAAGAAAGAAAGAAAGAAAGAAAGAAAGAAAGAAAGAAAGAAAAAUUGGACAGAUACUUUUCCCUCUUAUUUAUACACUGACAAACUGUCUAGGUUGGAAUAAUGUAGCGUGUAAAGGUACUGAAUCAAAGGAUUCAGCCUUCCUUUUUUACUUAGAAGCUUUAAUUAGCAAUAGCAGAAGCCAUUCAGUUUAAAAAAAACAGAAAAAGAUUACCUGUUUAACAAGAAAAAUCUAACAGGCGAUUUGAAAAACCUAACAAAAUAGAUGGAGAAUUAUUCCCUUAGUUUCAUUUUCAUUUGUGUUUAUCACUGAAAACUAAAGGCUAGCUUGAACCAUCAAGCUCUUCGGUCGUCCACAAAAUAGCUGUGUAGCAAAUGCUGUACUCCCUUCCCAGGGAAACUACCACGCAGCUCUGGCUAAAUGUUUUUAACUACCAGGCUAGGGCCAAGGGGUAAUCAUUCCUCGUGUGAAUUUUCAUUAGUUAGCCAAAUAGACUUUUUGACAAACCUAGGCUAAAGACCAGCAGUUAGCUACAUGUAAAUCAGUGAGUUGCUCUGUUAGCAAACAAGGCUAAUCCAUAUUCUUGAAUGCUUUAUCAAACCACAUCGUUUAGCGUGAAAGAUUAGUCAUGUGGAACCAAAAUGUUUUACUCUGAUGGAAGGCAACAAUAUGGCAGGAAACAAAAAGUUGCUGUUUUCGGAGCAGAUGGCUCACCCGUCUGCCUGCGUGUUUGCUGCAUGCGUGCAUGCACACACGCACACACACACAUUAUGUAUUUUUGUUGUGUCAUAUUCAGGUCUGUCCACUUCCUCCUUGUUAGCAUACUAAAUCUGCCUGUGUGUGUGUGUGUGUGUGUGCGUGUGUGUGUGUGUGUGUGUGUGUGUCAAGUCAAGUCAAGUCAACAGUAUUUAUAGAGCACUUUCAAACAGCCAUCGCUGCAUACAAAGUGCUGUACAUGGAGCGACUUAACAUAUACAAUAAACAGUAAGACGAAUCAGUAAUAAGUAAUAAGUAAUAAGGCGGUAGAAAGCACCAAGCAGUAAAACCAAUAGCAAAUCUAAGUCAUGCUGAGUCAAACGCCAAAGAAUACAAGUGAGUUUUGAGGAGGGCUUUAAAGAUGGGCAGCGAGGAGGCUUGCCGAAUGUUCAGUGUGUGUGUGUGUGCGCAUGCAUGCGCUUACUCUGAGGGAGCAGGGAACAUCGCUGACUCACACAAUGCACCACAACAGACGCUAUACAUACUCAGAGAAGAAAAAAGGUCUGGGAAGGCAAUUGUUUUUUGAUAAGAAAUGAUCGCAUUUUGAUAGCAUUUGGAUCACAACAACACGCUGGAUUGCGAAAACAAUCGAACACACUCCGCAGGGAAAAAAAAUCUGCCUUUUUUUGUGUAGUUGUGACAAUGUGUGUGUAUGAUGAGCGUUUUGGAAUAGAGAUUAGAUACACUUUUGACCAAAAUAAAUUAUUAAUGAGGUAAUGCACUCUCUGCUGGUUCCUCGGACAAAGUUUACAGAAAUGCUUCUUGUGCACUCAAAACAUGCUUUUGUUUUGGUGUUUAUGUUCGUUCGCUGGAUCAUCGAUUUUCACCAAGAAGAACCCACCGAAUCUUGAUACUACUGUACUCUGAAUUGUGUGUUUCGGUAAUCAGGUCUUGAUGCAUACUUUGGUACCUCUGCUAUAAUAAUAUUGGGUGAUGAUCCAAAUUGUAUUUGUGAGUAUGUAUUGUAAACUUUUCCAUAAAUCUUUGCGAGCAGAAUCACACACACACACACACACACACACACACACACACACACACACACACACACACACACACACACACACACACACACACACACACACACACACACACACACAAAC